CUCUCAUCUCAAAAUUUUUAUCCGGAGUCGGUUGGAUUUUGAGAAAACUUUUGGUUGUCUGUCUCACCACAUUUGAUUGAUGAUCCGAGGUUGCUGUUGAUGAUACCCUCCAUCUAACAACUUGACAUUACCCUUAGCCCAGUUCUUGAUGAAUUUCCCCCUCCAACAACAUCUGUUGCUGAAGCUGUUAAAACGUGGGCAUUAGUUGAGCUGAGAACAACUUUAAGAGUGGUGAGGAAAUCAUGUUGCUGAGAAGGAUAAGAGAAAGAGCUGAAAUAUCAACAUUUGGAAACGAUCGUUCAAUAGAAAAUUACUGAAUUUUUAUGACUGCAUAAUUAAUACUUGGUUACAAUAUGUUGUACAUAUGUAUCUAUAAAAUGUGCAAUCUAUAAUUGUUGUAUUAAUAAAAAGCUAUAGAUAAUCUGAAUGAUUUGAUAAUCCAAACAACUCCUUUCCCUAAUUUCAUUUUGUACAAGCAAGUUGUGAUGAUAUCACGCCAGUACAACUAAGAAAUGUUGAAAUGGGAUUUCUAUAACAGGAUGGGCUACUACACUGCGCUUGAAGAGGACGAUUUCAAACAUCUCAUUUGACUUCAUAUAUCAUAAUUAAAACCCGGAUUUAUA